UUGUGGUGCUGUAAUGGUAGAAACCAAGGAGAUCUAUAUAUUCCGUGUCAGUUAGGCCAUCUAGUUAAUAGAGUCUAAUAUUUGAUAUGAGAGAGGUUAUAUAGAAAAAUAAAAUGAAUCGUUUAUUAUAGUUUUGGAAGCGAAGCUUUUUGAAAUCUCCGUAUCAAUUAUAAUCGUUUUGCGUUUUCUUAUUUAGCUACAGAAUAUACCUGCAUGGGAUAUAUAAACAAGGUUAAAUCAAUCAUCACAUAGGCAAUAUCAAAAGCAUAUGAAUUUACGUGUCACUGAAGACAUUGAGGUUACCUUAAACUUAAAGUUGAUUGGUCAGCUCAAUCAGAAAAAAGACCAAUCAUAUCAAUCGAUAGAUAUUUCUUUCUUUCUUUCUUUCUUUUUUUUUUUAUAAAAAUAUUCCGAACAAAAUUUCAACAAAUGUAAACAAUUACAGUAUAAUAUUGUAUAUUUAACAAUAUUGUAAGACUUUCCUACAUAACAAAUAAAAUUAUUAAACAAUGAUAGUUGGUAAUUAUAUAGAAACAUCGUUAUUUUGUACAAUCGUUUAGUACAUACAGUUCUACCAAUCUAAUCAUAAUGUAUUAAUCUGAAAACCAAUAAAAAUGCGAUUACAUACUGCGAACUUUAAUUCGAAUCAACGGCGUCUGUAUCUGCGAUAAAAAAUUGUCGUAAAUCGAUAAAAUAUUCUAGUAGAAUUUUUAAUGGUGUUAAUACGUAAAUUAAAAAUCAUUUUUCGAAUCAUACAUAUACAUAUAUAUACAUACAUACAUACAUACAUAUGACAUAUAACAAUGUCAGAAAUACAAACAAAUCGAGAAAAGAAAAAAGAAAGAAGCUUUCCGUAUUAUUUCGAUGAAAAAUAAUCAAAUGAAGGAACAUACCCGGUGAAUAUCUCAUUUUGUGGAUGAAAUAUAUAUAUAUAUAUAUAAAGAAAGAGAAAGAGAGAGAGAAAGAGAGAAAGAGCUGCGACGCAACAAAAUCGUAUAGAAGAAAGAAGAAAAGAGUCGCAGACGCCUCCGGUUAACUAACUUUCAAAUAAUGGACGCGCAUUCCACAGGGAGAGAAAAAGAGAAAGAGAAAGAGAGACAGCUUAUAAAUAGAAAAUAUACUGCAAUUUCCGUACGACGAACUCAAAACCGUAAUUUUGCUUCCUCGUUAAUGAUGCUUCCUAUAAACUUACGAAAUACAACUACUUUACGUAGAUUCAUGUUGG